CAGAUGGGAGCUUGCUCCCUGAUGUUAGCGGCGGACGGGUGAGUAACACGUGGGUAACCUGCCUGUAAGACUGGGAUAACUCCGGGAAACCGGGGCUAAUACCGGAUGGUUGUUUGAACCGCAUGGUUCAAACAUAAAAGGUGGCUUCGGCUACCACUUACAGAUGGACCCGCGGCGCAUUAGCUAGUUGGUGAGGUAAUGGCUCACCAAGGCAACGAUGCGUAGCCGACCUGAGAGGGUGAUCGGCCACACUGGGACUGAGACACGGCCCAGACUCCUACGGGAGGCAGCAGUAGGGAAUCUUCCGCAAUGGACGAAAGUCUGACGGAGCAACGCCGCGUGAGUGAUGAAGGUUUUCGGAUCGUAAAGCUCUGUUGUUAGGGAAGAACAAGUACCGUUCGAAUAGGGCGGUACCUUGACGGUACCUAACCAGAAAGCCACGGCUAACUACGUGCCAGCAGCCGCGGUAAUACGUAGGUGGCAAGCGUUGUCCGGAAUUAUUGGGCGUAAAGGGCUCGCAGGCGGUUUCUUAAGUCUGAUGUGAAAGCCCCCGGCUCAACCGGGGAGGGUCAUUGGAAACUGGGGAACUUGAGUGCAGAAGAGGAGAGUGGAAUUCCACGUGUAGCGGUGAAAUGCGUAGAGAUGUGGAGGAACACCAGUGGCGAAGGCGACUCUCUGGUCUGUAACUGACGCUGAGGAGCGAAAGCGUGGGGAGCGAACAGGAUUAGAUACCCUGGUAGUCCACGCCGUAAACGAUGAGUGCUAAGUGUUAGGGGUUUCCGCCCCUUAGUGCUGCAGCUAACGCAUUAAGCACUCCGCCUGGGGAGUACGGUCGCAAGACUGAACUCAAGGAAUUGACGGGGGCCCGCACAAGCGGUGA
rnacentral:rRNA from 1 species